rnacentral:rRNA from 1 species
UUGAACGCUGGCGGCAGGCCUAACACCUGCAAGUCGAACGGUAACAGGAAGCAGCUUGCUGCUUCGCUGACGAGUGGCGGCCGGGUGAGUAAUGUCUGGGAAGCUGCCUGAUGGAGGGGGAUAACUACUGGAAACGGUAGCUAAUACCGCAUAAUGUCGCAAGACCAAAGAGGGGGACCUUCGGGCCUCUUGCCAUCGGAUGUGCCCAGAUGGGAUUAGCUUGUUGGUGGGGUAACGGCUCACCAAGGCGACGAUCCCUAGCUGGUCUGAGAGGAUGACCAGCCACACUGGAACUGAGACACGGUCCAGACUCCUACGGGAGGCAGCAGUGGGGAAUAUUGCACAAUGGGCGCAAGCCUGAUGCAGCCAUGCCGCGUGUAUGAAGAAGGCCUUCGGGUUGUAAAGUACUUUCAGCGGGGAGGAAGGGAGUAAAGUUAAUACCUUUGCUCAUUGACGUUACCCGCAGAAGAAGCACCGGCUAACUCCGUG